AACGUAGGAUCCGAGCGUUAUCCGAAUUCACUGGGCGUAAAGCGCGUGUAGGCGGCUGGCUAAGUUGGAUGUGAAAUCUCCUGGCUCAACUGGGAGAGGACGUUCAAGACUGGCUGGCUGGAGGACGGUAGAGGAAGGUGGAAUUCCCGGUGUAGUGGUGAAAUGCGUAGAGAUCGGGAGGAACACCAGUGGCGAAGGCGGCCUUCUGGACCGUGCCUGACGCUGAGAUGCGAAAGCUAGGGGAGCGAACGGGAUUAGAAACCCCCGUAGUCC
rnacentral:rRNA from 1 species